AUUGAACGCUGGCGGCAUGCCUUACACAUGCAAGUCGAACGGCAGCACGGGUGCUUGCCCCUGGUGGCGAGUGGCGAACGGGUGAGUAAUACAUCGGAACAUGUCCUGUAGUGGGGGAUAGCCCGGCGAAAGCCGGAUUAAUACCGCAUACGAUCUACGGAUGAAAGCGGGGGACCUUCGGGCCUCGCGCUAUAGGGUUGGCCGAUGGCUGAUUAGCUAGUUGGUGGGGUAAAGGCCCACCAAGGCGACGAUCAGUAGCUGGUCUGAGAGGACGACCAGCCACACUGGGACUGAGACACGGCCCAGACUCCUACGGGAGGCAGCAGUGGGGAAUUUUGGACAAUGGGCGAAAGCCUGAUCCAGCAAUGCCGCGUGUGUGAAGAAGGCCUUCGGGUUGUAAAGCACUUUUGUCCGGAAAGAAAUCCUUGGCCCUAAUACGGUCGGGGGAUGACGGUACCGGAAGAAUAAGCACCGGCUAACUACGUG
rnacentral:rRNA from 1 species